rnacentral:rRNA from 1 species
UACGGAGGGGGCGAGCGUUAUUCGGAAUUAUUGGGCGUAAAGGGCGCGUAGGCGGCCUUCUAAGUCGAACGUGAAAUCCCCGGGCUCAACCCGGGAACUGCGUCCGAUACUGGAAGGCUAGAAUCCGGGAGAGGGAUGCGGAAUUCCAGGUGUAGCGGUGAAAUGCGUAGAUAUCUGGAGGAACACCGGUGGCGAAGGCGGCAUCCUGGACCGGUAUUGACGCUGAGGCGCGAAAGCCAGGGGAGCAAACGGG